UAGAUUAAGGAAAAAGGGAUAUUACAAGCCUCCCCCGACUAUCAAAGUUACUAAGCAGGAUUUGAGGUAAUGACGGGGAUGACGGAAUGGCGUAGCAGUGAGGAAUAAUUACUACUUAAAUUAUGCAGACUCUUAUUAAUAUGUAUUCUAAGCUUGAGAACAUUAGUUUAUGAACCUUAAUUAUGUUUCACCUAGUUAUUUACGCAUUUCUAAGUUAGUUAUGAAGUUUAAUAUUUAUAAAGUUACGUUCUUUAA